CAGCCUACCCUGCACCAGCCUACCCCGCACCAGCUUACCCUACUCCCAGCUACAACAAGGAUAACAAAUAUGCCGACAUCACCGUCACCAGCCAAUCUGACGAGCGCAAUCUCGAUGGCAGCAGCCAAUGGAGCUAUGCCCAGUCUGACUACACCACUCGCGAAGAGUCUCAGGUCCAGAAGAAGAUGCAAGGAGUCACCUACGAUUCCUACGGCAAAGAAUCGUACGGUGAAGUCCUAGGCAACACCAACAAAGGAUCUUCUUACUGGAUUUCUCCUGAGGGUCAGAAGUUCACUUUGACCUGGGUUGCUGAUGAGGCCGGUUUCCAGCCCAAAGGUGAUCACUUGCCCGUCGUCCCCGUCCAUGAAUACGAGCUCCCAGUUGCUCCCGUCCAUGAAUACGAGCUCCCCGUUGCCCCCGUUCACAUCCCCUUCAAUGGAAAGGGUUACAAGAUUUACUA